ensembl:lncRNA
GUGGAGACAAUAGCUCCCGUGAACACAAGCAGACAAGGCUCAAUGCAGCUUUCUUCCCCUCCUCAAUGCAGCUUUGAUCCAGCCAGGGCUACCGGGAGGAAUUUCAGUCUAACUGGGGCAGCCCUACCUGGGAACCAUGCCUCACUCUGUGGGGGUGGCUCCUCCCAUUAUUGGGGAGGUUAUCGGGAGCCGGCAUGGAAAGUUCCAUAAACAUGGAGCACCAGCACCCCACCAGCGCCUCCACACACCAGCCUGAUUGAAUUUAGCACAUGUCUUUGCUAUAGGUACGAUUGGCGAUGACAGUUGUCAAGCUGUUGUGGCUCAGUCUCAAAGUCACUACCGUUUUGUGACGCAGGGGCUGGAACUGCCACUUCUCCCAGCUAACUGGCGCCAUGUCAGGUUCUGCCACUAGGAGGCGCCAGAGGGAGAUCGCAAAGCUGGAGGACCGAAAAGGGACUUUUAUCUUUCAGUGCCCACCAGUUUCAUCCUGGCAUCGAAGUUUGUUUCAGUCUCUAGGUUUUUUCAACACCCCUAGUACCAGCCUCUUAGUCAUUUCUCUGCCCCAUGAUUUACAAAACUCUCCUACUUUAAAAACAACCACCUCUGGGUUUUAAAAACAAUCCCAGCGCCCUGUGUACAAUUUCACAACAAAGGAGAGAAGCGUCAAGGGCUGGGACGAUAGCAGAGGGGUCUGCGCCUGCAUGAAGACCCAAUUUCUUCCCGGGUGGUGGAUAAAGCUAAGGAGAUAAAAAAUGACCUUUCACCUUCGGGAACAGUAAUCGCCACCUCUCUGGAGCCUGUGCGGAGGAUGAAUUAGGAAGAAACAAGGCCAGACCACCAGUUGGCAGACUGCUGAAGUCAAGAAGUCCUCUAAGCCAGAAGUGAUGAUGCCAUGAACCAGGCUUCUUACAGAGUUGUGAUGUGCCCCGGAACGCCUCAUCUCAGGGAAGGCAAGAGGAGUCUCUCUUAAGAGAGUAUGGCGUCUGCUUCUAGUGCUGUUUACGGCAAAGCUGAAAACUGUCUUUGAAAUUAACAACAGAUGUGCAUAAAUCUUCAGUUACCUAGCAACUAAUACAAGAGAAAGUUUGCCAACCCUGAUUUAGAGGAUAAAAACGAACUGUCUUUUCCUCUGAGUCUGCCACUGAAGAGAUGGAUGUCAUGAGGCUUUCCCUAUCAAGUGAGGUGGUCGACUAUAGUCAAAGGUUUCUUGCAUCUAAGAGUCAACUCUCAGCAACACCUUAAUUCCCAUUUUUUUCCACCAAGAAUUAACAUCUACAACAAUCAAGAAUAAUGCUAUGUUCCUUAGAAGCUUGGCUAGUUCUACUAGAAUUCCAAAGAAUGGAGUGUUGCAUCUGAUAAGGCCAUUGGGACAAGGCUGCCCAAGGGCUCACCUGUGUUUAUACGUCUGUGCCUCUUCCCAGGCACAAAGCUAGUUGGCACCUCCCAAUCCCCUUGCAGUAAGGUGGGCCAGGUCUUGAGCUUUUGCUGAUGGAAUUGAGGAGAAAUAUGUCCAGCAUUCCCACACCUGAAUUGAACACUCCUCACUGACCCUCCAUACUCUCUCCUCUUCCUUGCCUGAAGGAUGCAAACAACCCAGUGGACGACCCUGAAGUUUAGAGAAAGCCAUCCAAUAGAACUUUCUGGAAUGAUGGAAAACUUCUAUUCUGCACUGUUCAAUAUAGUAGUUUCUAGUCAUAUGUGGCUAUUGUGCUCUGGAAAUGUGGCUAGUGCAACUGAGGAGUGAAUUUUUACUUUUAAUAAAUUUAAAUAUCAU